rnacentral:tRNA from 1 species
GCCUGGGUGGCUCAGUUGGUUGAGCGUCUGACUUUGGCUCAGGUCACGAUCUCAUGGUUCAUGAGUUCAAGCCCCACACCGGGCU